rnacentral:rRNA from 1 species
AUUGAACGCUGGCGGCAUGCCUUACACAUGCAAGUCGAACGGUAACAGGUUAAGCUGACGAGUGGCGAACGGGUGAGUAAUGUAUCGGAACGUGCCCAGUCGUGGGGGAUAACUACUCGAAAGAGUGGCUAAUACCGCAUACGACCUGAGGGUGAAAGCGGGGGACCGUAAGGCCUCGCGCGAUUGGAGCGGCCGAUAUCAGAUUAGCUAGUUGGUGGGGUAAAAGCCCACCAAGGCGACGAUCUGUAGCUGGUCUGAGAGGACGACCAGCCACACUGGGACUGAGACACGGCCCAGACUCCUACGGGAGGCAGCAGUGGGGAAUUUUGGACAAUGGACGCAAGUCUGAUCCAGCCAUGCCGCGUGCGGGAAGAAGGCCUUCGGGUUGUAAACCGCUUUUGUCAGGGAAGAAACGAGUUUCUCUAAUACAGAGACUUAAUGACGGUACCUGAAGAAUAAGCACCGGCUAACUACGUGCCAGCAGCCGCGGUAACAC